rnacentral:rRNA from 1 species
AUUGAACGCUGGCGGCAGGCCUAACACAUGCAAGUCGAACGAGUGGCGGACGGGUGAGUAAUGUCUGGGAAACUGCCUGAUGGAGGGGGAUAACUACUGGAAACGGUAGCUAAUACCGCAUACCAUCGGCUCUUCCCAGAUGGGUUUAGCUAGUCGGUGGGGUAAAGGCUCACCUAGGCAACGAUCCCUAGCUGGUCUGUGAGGGUGACCGGCCACACUGGAACUGAGACACGGUCCAGACUCCUACGGGAGGCAGCAGUGGGGAAUAUUCGACAAUGGGCGCAAGCCGGAUGCAGAAAUGCCGCGUGAAUGAAGAAGGCCUUCGGGUUGUAAAGUACUUUCAGCGGGGAGGCGUUACCCGCAGAGGAAGCACCGGCUAACUCCGUGCCAGCAGCCGCGGUAAUAC